rnacentral:rRNA from 1 species
UACAGAGGGUGCGAGCGUAAUCGGAAUUACUGGGCGUAAAGCGCGCGUAGGCGGCUUUGCAAGUCGGGUGUGAAAUCCCCAGGCUUAACCUGGGAACUGCAUUCGAGACUGCAUUGCUAGAGUAUGGGAGAGGGAAGUGGAAUUUCCGGUGUAGCGGUGAAAUGCGUAGAUAUCGGAAGGAACAUCAGUGGCGAAAGCGACUUCCUGGACCAAUACUGACGCUCAUGUGCGAAAGCGUGGGGAGCGAACAGG